GCCAGUCCCCGAGAAGUUAACAUUCAGUCGCCACGCAACGUCCGCCAGUCGAGGUUGCCCGGCUCCACUUGGCGGCACUCGAUCGAGUGGCCAAAAGCAAAAGACAAAAAAAAAAAACACAGUUAGCGAGGCAGCAAGGCAGCAGCCAAAGGAACCCUUUCCAAAGCCAAAGCCAAGUUCUGGCCUUUGGGCCACAAAAGUGCAGCGACAGUCAGUCGAGCCGAGAGCCUCCAGCGAAGCAGUCGCAUGUGCUCUCUGUGCCAUCGAGAACUUAUCAAAUUGCCAAGUUGCCAAAUAGCCAAAACCGAAAGCAAAGCAUAAAUGAGAAACAUAAAUUCUAAGCAAUCGAGUGAUCAGCCAGCGGAAUCUGAAACCGUUAAGUACACUUUGCUGUGUCUGUGUGUUGUACUCUCGUACUGGCCAAGUUCUGAUACGGCUACAAUGCUAUCGUGUGUAAUUUCAUUCCGGCGCGGGCAUAAUCAAUUCGCCGUAAUCCAUUUGCACUUAAUGCGACGCGCCACCUCCCAAAAAACAAAAAAUACGAUACAAAUAAAUACAAUGACCAACUCAAUGGGAAGCCAGAAAAUAAAUAUGACAGGUGUGAGCCGGAAAACUACAGAUGUCUUUGGGGUCCCUGCUUGGCAAGAUGGAAAUCUUAAUCCAAAUGGAUGUGAAUCUGGAUGGGAAGUCGAGUGGAACGUUAACCCUCUGAAAAAAAGGGGUAUGUGCUGGGUGCGUUGAGUAUACGCAACGUGGACUGACCCUAUUAAUUGAACGCUUGUUUAUUUAUGGGCCUCGUUAUUUGAGUGCAUUCAAGUGUUUUGUACUGCGAGUGGCCACGCCCCCUUCUGAGCGAUGGGGGGUCCGGCAGGCGGGCACUAUAAAUUGUUUAGUUUUAUCAGCCGCAACAACAGGAGCAGCAUGAAUAAUAAGGCAGAGCAACGCCCACUUUCGCAUUGCGUGCUCUCGAACAGGAACCUGAAAGUCCUGAAAUUCUGAAAUACAUGCACACUGCCACUCACAUAUGCAAAGCCACACACAUAGGCACUCACACAUACGCACUCGCACGCACAAUUGAAGCGGAAGUGCGCAUUGUUUCCGCUUUUAAUAAGAGUCGUUGUUCGCUGCAGCGCUGCAACAAGGCACUGCAUAUGCUGGGGCAUAAUAAUAAAGCAUGCCGCUUGCCAAUUCAGUGGAUUGGGAUUGGGAUUGGGACUGGGAGUCGACCAUAAAUUGCAUUAAAUUGCAUUUAAAUGUGUCGGACAGGUUAACAAUGCGAGGAGUAUCCGCCAUAAUUGAUUUCAAAUUAAACCUAACUCCGGCCAAGGCCCUUAAAGGCAACAUCAGCUUAACGGGCGAAUCCUUAAAUUGCACGUAAUUAUUCGGGCAUUUUAACACUCUAAGUCUUCGUCUGUCCCUAGUUUAAUUUCCACGCUUUUGAGCGUGAAAUAGCUGGCGCUGACAGCGAAAAGAAAGCAAAGUUGGGCAAACUAGCAAUUUGCUAUGCUCUACAAGGCACUUUUUCCUCCUUUGUCCUCCUCGGGGAAAGCGAGAAAACUUGAAUCUUAUCCCAAGGAAAUUUGCAUGUCGUUUGGCUUUUUUUGUUGGGUUUUCCCAGCCAGAGCUCGUCCUUGCUCCUUUUGGUUAUGGCAUGCCUGUCGACAAUUAAACAUAUUCACCAUUCACAUUAAUUGUGGCGAAACUUUCGGCCAGAAACCACCAACCUGCUGUGCCACCUGCGGUGGCUGCCACAAGCACACACUCAGGACAUUCUCGUUUCUCGUUUGUAGUGCCGCCGUUUGUAGUGCCUUAUACUCAAUUUCUUUUCCUUUUUCUUGUUUUAUUUUUUUUUUGCCUUUUUGGUCCUCAGCUGAAACUGACUAUGAUCUAUGGCACUUGGCAUGUGUGAAAGUGGGUUUGGGGCGGGCGUAGGAAAGGGGUGGGCACUUGGAGAAAAUUAGAGCUGCGAUCAGAAGGCAAAUGUAUAAUAAACUUAGGUAAGAACUGAAAAAGUUUGCACUCAAAACAACAUUAGGCAGCUUUGAAAGUAUUUAAAAUAAAAUUUUAGAAUCUUCAUACAUAAGAGAACUGUUUGAAAGCUAGCCGACUUGCUCGUAUCGGUGAUUCCUGCCAUCACACAUUUUUUUUUCGAGUGCAGCUACCCAAGGUAGAUGACUUUUCGUCUCCACUUGAUUAGCAUUCGCCUUAGCCAUUUGAGUCGCUUUGUGCUGGAGUGCAGGAGCGUGCCUAUUGAUGCGUGCUAAUUGCGAGGCGACUCCGCAUUGAAGUCCGUGCCAAGAAUAUCCUGGUGCGCCAGGAUGCCACAUUGUUAUUUGGACGUAGCUGGUGUGCAUAACAAGGAAAUCCGUUUCGAGUGCGAGUGGUGGCGAAUGGAGGCGAGUGGAGGCUGCAGUUGGUCUUUGUCUUGGCGGAAGUUCUCGAGUGCUCCGACUGGCUUCGAGUGUGCUCUCUUCGAGUGUUCUGUCUGGCCCUGACUAGCUCCUCCAGCUUUGCCAUUUUCCAUUUCUCCAGUUCUCCAGUGCUGGCUGACCCACUGCAACGGGCUUAUCGGCCCAAGUCCUUUGGCAAAUCAACGACCAGGGAGUAAACCACUGACAGCACUUAUCAAAACGUUCAAUCAAUCAAUCAAUUGUUGCCAACAAAAGGGCGCUCAGAGAAAAACACAGUAAUAUCACUCAUACGCCUAUUUGUAGCGACAAAAAAGCAGUGCCAAACCAAAUCAGCUUAGGCUAAAAAACAAAAAUAAGGAAAACAGGACCAGCAACUGGGGUAAAAAAAGGCAGCACCACGAUUACAAAGGACAUAUGCCGGCUGACAUGAAAGCAAAGCCCACUCCCACUCUAACAUUCGGUGGCUGGCUUUUGUGUGGCGGCUUUUUAUUUGUCCAUGGCUUCUGACCCAAAGAGACCCCAGCCGAAAAGCCAAGCCAAUGGACUGGCGGGCCAACAAAUCAGGCGCAAAUCGGCCAGACAAAAGGCGGCAGGCAGCGGGGGCGGUGAGGUGAAAGCCCAGGCAAGAAGCGGUGAAAAAAACGUGCAACAUUGUCAACGGCAUGCCGCAUGUUACUGCAAUCCACUGGAUGUGUCAGCUUCGGAGCUUCGGAGCUUCAGAGCUACGGAUUGCCAGGAUUCCAGGAUGCCCACCUGCAGUUCGUCUCGUUAAAGGGCUGCCGCCUAAUAAGCCAAUUCAAAGCUGGUUCACUUGGUGAAUGAAAGAAAGAAAAGCGGGGUGUGUGCUGAGUGUGUGGCAAAUGUUUAUCCAAUGUGGCACAUGCAUAAAUUUAUGCUUACACACAUUUUGUCAACAUCUGCAGCAUAUUCACAACUUGCCAGAUACUUUUCUGGCUCAUCCAGCUGCCAUCCACUCACAUCCCUGCCAUCCUUGCGCUCUGCACACACACACACAUCGUGAGAUUGCGGCAGAUAUUUGCAUAUUAUGUCUAUAUGCAAAUGAUGGCCCAGGAGCAAAGGAGCAGAGAAGCAGAGAUGACGGCACACGCGGCGUAUACGUGCUGCAUUAACAUAUCAAUCAUACGUAGCGUAGCCGCUCCUUCCGCUUCCGAGCAAACAUUUAGCUACAUUUAGCUGCCGAUAAAGAUGAACGAGUGUAGGCCAUGAUUUUUCUGCGUGACAAAACUUGCGCCAUAAAUCCGCAGAGCUUGUCACAUAGCCACAUAGUCAUGCAGUUUAUUGAAAAGUUAAUUGCCACGGCGGUUGAAUACAAUAUACAUUGUGUAUAUACAAUAAAUUAAUGCCAACUAACAACAUUGUCAGCGAUAGCCAUUUCCUACGCCAGCAUCGUGUCGACAAUUGUAAUUGUUGUGCUGAUUGUUUAAUUGCGGCCAUUUUGUGAUCAGUUUCCGUUGGCCACACACACACACAAAAACCCAUCUGCAUACACACACACUCAAUUGUGUACAAAUAUAAAUAUACAAUUGUAUUAUUGGAUGCAUUUCAAUACGCAAUACUGUUUGGUUAAAAAAUUAGCAUCUGCGAUUUCGUCAGCACGCAUGUAAAUCACUCUUCGUUUGCGGACAAAUAUUUUUGCCCACAAUUUAUAUUUAUGCUAUAUCCUGCGUGUGUUGUUGUUUGUGUUUCAAUGGCAUUAAAUUGACUUUUUGCAAUUGGUUAUUGAUAUUUUUAUAAUAUUUACGCUACUGGCAGGUCAUAGUUUGUUAUCGACUGGCGGGCUCCUUCCUUUUAAAGAGUAAACCCUAAGUGUGUGAAAAAAAAAUAUAAUCGCUGGCAAAACAUCUGUGACAACAUGGCGUAUGAUUUAUAUAUGCGGGUCCCGCACUCUGCAUAUUCGCGGUUAUUGGCUGGCUUUAAGCCAUAUUUGCUCUUUAUUUGAUUUUAUUAUGUUGCUAAAAAACCGCGAAAGAACAUUAAUUGCAUUUAAUUAGAAAUUAUUGGCCAUUAGCGGUGGGCCGCUGCAAUUUAUGCAGUUGCAACGCGGCAACAUGAACUCGGCUUAUUUUGUGAGCCAAAUGACAUCAGUGGAACAUAUUUUCGCAAUGUGUUCAGAGUUCGCAGAUGCCAGUUAUCACACAGUCCAAAUUGCGUCAUUCGGCCGCUUCAGCUCAGUUCAGUUUUCUCGGCAGUGAAACGAGUUUUGAGCUUGUUUCAAUUAUUUGCCACGCAAAUACAAAAACCAUUUGCGGGCAGGGUCGAGGGUAUUUGUCCCAUUACCAAUUAGAUGAAAUGGCUUCUCCCUGAGCUCAGCUCAGCUCAGCUCAACACUCUCUCUUUCUCGUUUCGCCGUCUUCUCUGGGUUUCAAUUUAAUGAAUAUGUAAUGGCUGAACGAAAAAAGUUUCUGCUUAUCAUGCCCCAUCCACGGAAAACUUGACUUGUUACAAAAAGCUUUAUCAAGCUGCGUUCUAUCUGCUGCGGGAUUUUCUGCUGCUGGCAGCUGUUUCUUCCUUCUUCAUCAGAGCCCACAUUUUUGGCAACCAACCCCCGGAAAAUGUACUCACUCUUUUCAAUCUCAACUUGUAAUUGACGCCGUACUUGGCGGCGGGCAUAAAAAAUAAUUUGAUUAUUAACUCGAGCCUCGGCAAAGACGAGUGGGGAAUUUAAAUAUUAAUUGAAACAGCUCACAGGGUUCGUGAAUCCUGAGGGACUUGUUGACUCAUCCGCAGGCUAAUCCCCGACUAAUCUGGGCCGGCUUUUCGCAGCCAACUGGACCCUUUAAGUGCUAGUGGAUUGGCCAAUCAAUUAGUGGCAGGCGAAUUAUGUUGCAUUUAAAUAUGCCAUGGCAGUGGCCAAGAUUUAUGCGGCUCAUAAAUGUCACAGGCAGCAGGAUACACACCUCGAUUCGCACAAUUAAUCUUGUGUAUGUCAGCCUUAUAAAUAUGUGAGUGUGGGUGUAUGUGUGUGUGGGCGUGGCCGAACCACAAAGUCAAUAAUCGCCCAUCACCUGCUGUGGGAACUUGAGCAGAUGGAUGAGGUCAUGGCGAGGUAGAUCUAAUAAAAUAAUUCAUUUCGAAUUUACAACUCACAGAGCCAAAAUGAAAAGAAGCCAUAUGUCAAUUGCAGUUGCACACGGUCGCAUAAACAAGAUGGCAGACACAAGUCACAGCCAGAGUCCUUUUUCGCCAACCAGCCAGAUCCUUGCCCUUAUCCUCUACCCAUUCCGGUGCCUUUCGCUUUGGCACACAAUGACAUGUCAAGUGCAAAAUGCAAAACUGGACGCCACAGAACUUUUCGCCAAUUGUUCGUCCUUCUUGUCGGCCUCGCCCCUCGUCCACCCUCGUCCUUGGACCCUCAUCCUUGGACCCUCGUCCUGCGUCGUUGGCCCCUCGCCGACUGGCUGCACCUACAACUUCCGGCCUUUGUUGAAAUAACCAUAAAAUCAAGAUAAGUUAUUGGAUUUGCUGGCAGGAAGCAGGAAUAAGCACUUUUUGCCUUUGCCCUUCUGGCCCAGCGACUAGGCCUCGUCCUUUGCUACUUCUUUUUUUUGGCCUUCAUGUCCUUGCCUUGUGUCGUAGAUUAAUUGCUUUUUUUUGGGGUGAGGCACGGGGUGGAGCAGCAGCUACAACUCUCCUCCCGACUCCUGGGAAAAAACAUUUUUGUGUAAUAUAAAUACGAAUUUUUUAUUUCCUGCCUUUGUGCCCCGCCUGUGAACUUUGUGUCCCGACGAUUGCCCUGGCCAGUGCUGCAGCUCCUGUUCCAAAUCCAGAUCCUGGUUACUGUAGCCGCCCAUUUCCCUCUUUGUAUAAAUAGUGACGCUCACAAUGCCGCUGCUCAGCCGGAAUGGCAUUGGUAGUGCGAGUGGUAGUGAGUCUCCGCCACAGCUGGAGGCGCCACACAAUCAGUUUUCACAGCUCGCACUUGCCUAGGUCCCUUUGCUUUUCCAGUUGCCAGUUCCCAGUUGCCAGUUGCCCCAGCUAGCACUCCUUCUCCUGUUCCUGCCGCACUAAUGCGAUUAAGCCGCUUGUUGUGGCUGUCAACGCGUUGACUGGUCUACUCCUCCCCAGUAGCCACCCUCCCCCCUAACACCCUCCACCAACCCACUUCCAACCCACUUCCAUCUGCCUUUGUAAUUCACUUAAGUGUGGCACUUUGGCCUGCGGUAAACGCCGUCCAUUGUUGCCCCACUGUUCUCAGGCACUGAUCUCUUUAGCAUAUAACCAGAGGCCAGAGAGGUUUACCUUUGGCCAACUCUCAGAUUUUCGGCUUGGCUCUGGUUUAAUCAUAAAUUUCCAGCUGAAUCUCUGCUGCCAUUGUCCACUGAAACGGCCACGCCCACCCGAGGGGCGGUUAAGGCAAGCGAACUGCUGUCAAGUGGACUUAACCUCUUAACUACAUUUUAUUUGAUGACAUUGUGGCGUGUGGCCAGUUUAAUCACGAUAUUACGCUAUAAAGAGUGUGAGACGGCUAACCCAAUUGGACACUGUUUGUUCACUUAAAGAAAAUGGUUAUUUAAGUCAAAAGAAUAACAUUUUUUAAGUAAACUUGUAUUUAAUACGAGUUCUUUGUUCGUAUUUCAAUACAACAAUUUUAGAUUGCUGUUUAAAGUAAUAUAAAUGCCAGCAAUUGACAGGAUAUUUGAUUUGAUUGCCUUUUUUGCGCUGUGUCUCCGCUUUUCAAUAAUCCCAACUCAGAUUUAGCUUAGGACAGUGCAAUUAUGCACAAAGUGCUUUGGUUGGAAGGAGGCCGUAAAAAGUAACAGCUGAAAAGGCGGCGAGUGUCACAGUUUAGGAGAUCCCAGGACUUAUCGUCCUCAUCUUGCCAUUCGCCUCCUCCUCCUCCUCCUCCUCCUCCUCCACUUCCUUCGCUCCUUUUGGCCCUCUCACGCACAGAGGCCUGGCCCGGAGGCAGGAAGUCUUUACGGGCUCACACGCUCAUCAGGAAGCCACGGCAAUCAGGACAUUCGGGGGAAGAGGCAAAGAGGGGCGGAAUGGCACUGGAAUGGCACCAAUUGGACUUUAUUAAUUUGAGGCCGUGCGUGUCGAGUUGUCGACUCGACUCGAGGUAUUUACAAUUGUUGUAAAUAUUUCCUUUAUUAUUGUAAUUAUAUUUAUGGGAAUGCGAAUUUGAAUAGACUGGAGAACAGACGCAGACGGCGGGGAAGGGGGGCUCUCAUGACAAUGUUGCGUGCUGUCCCCAGUUCUUAAAGGGAAUUAGCAGCAUAUUAAACUGAUUUUUAUUGGGGCAGAGGCGGAGGCGGAGGCAGAGGCAGAGGCAGAGGCACUCGAGUUCCAGUUGCACAUGGCUGGGGUCAUUAAUUUAACAUUUGCAAAUGGCCCGAAAGUAUGCAACAAUUGUGUAAAUUCCGCUCAUAAAUAUAAGCCAGCCUACAACUAAUUUGUGGCCCCUUUCUACUC